rnacentral:rRNA from 1 species
GAGGAGUUAAGUUAAGUCCCGCAACGAGCGCCACCCUCGCCAUUAGUUGCCAUCAUUUAGUUGGGAACUCUAAUGGGACGGCCGGUGCUAAGCCGGAGGAAGGUGGGGAUGAUGUCAAGUCCUCAUGGCCCUUACAGGGUGGGCUACACACGUGCUACAAUGGCGACUACAGAGGGUUAAUCCUUAAAAGUCGUCUCAGUUCGGAUUGUCCUCUGCAACUCGAGGGCAUGAAGUUGGAAUCGCUAGUAAUCGCGGAUCAGCAUGCCGCGGUGAAUACGUUCCCGGGCCUUGUACACACCGCCCGUCACAACCAUGGGAGUUGAGUUCUACCCGAAGGCGCUGCGCUGACCGCAAGGAGGCACAGCGACCCCUGUUGGUCUGA